UCCUACGGGAGGCAGCAGUGGGGAAUAUUGCACAAUGGGGGAAACCCUGAUGCAGCAACGCCGCGUGAGUGAAGAAGUAUUUCGGUAUGUAAAGCUCUAUCAGCAGGGAAGAAAAUGACGGUACCCGACCAAGAAGCCCCGGCUAACUACGUGCCAGCAGCCGCGGUAAUACGUAGGGGGCGAGCGUUAUCCGGAAUUACUGGGUGUAAAGGGAGCGUAGACGGCGAGGUAAGCCUGAAGUGGAAGCCCGCGGCCCAACCGCGGAACUGCUUUGGGAACUGUUUUGCUGGAGUAUGGGAGGGGUA
rnacentral:rRNA from 1 species